CGCGGGGUGGAGCAGCUUGGUAGCUCGUCGGGCUCAUAACCCGAAGGUCGUCGGUUCAAAUCCGGCCCCCGCAA
rfam:Erwinia tracheiphila strain BuffGH Etrach_2, whole genome shotgun sequence.